UACGAAGGAUGCAAGCGUUAUCCGGAUUCAUUGGGUUUAAAGGGUGCGUAGGCGGCCUUGUAAGUCAGUGGUGAAAUCUCUUUGCUUAACAAAGAAACUGCCAUUGAUACUGCUAGUCUAGAGUAUAGAUGACGUUGGCGGAAUAUGACAUGUAGUGGUGAAAUACUUAGAUAUGUCAUAGAACACCGAUGGCGAAGGCAGCUAACGAAACUAUAACUGACGCUGAGGCACGAAAGUGCGGGGAUCAAACAGG
rnacentral:rRNA from 1 species